GAUGAACGCUGGCGGCGUGCCUAAUACAUGCAAGUCGAACGAACAGAUAAGGAGCUUGCUCCUUUGACGUUAGCGGCGGACGGGUGAGUAACACGUGGAUAACCUACCUAUAAGACUGGGAUAACUUCGGGAAACCGGAGCUAAUACCGGAUAACAUAUUGAACCGCAUGGUUCAAUAGUGAAAGGCGGCUUUGCUGUCACUUAUAGAUGGAUCCGCGCCGUAUUAGCUAGUUGGUAAGGUAACGGCUUACCAAGGCAACGAUACGUAGCCGACCUGAGAGGGUGACGCGCCAAAACGGAACUGAAACGCGGUCCAGAACCCCACGGGGGGCAACAGGAGGGAAUCUUCCGAAAUGGGCGAAAGCCUGCCGGAGCAACCCCGGGUGGGUGAAGAAGGUCUUCGUAUCGUAAAACUCUUUUACCAGGGAAAAACAAAUGUGUAAGUAACUGUGCACAUCUUGGCGGUACCUGAUCAGAAAGCCACGGCUAACUACGU
rnacentral:rRNA from 1 species